rnacentral:rRNA from 1 species
CGCUGAAGAGAGGAGCUUGCUCUUCUUGGAUGAGUUGCGAACGGGUGAGUAACGCGUAGGUAACCUGCCUGGUAGCGGGGGAUAACUAUUGGAAACGAUAGCUAAUACCGCAUAAAAUGGAUUAUCGCAUGAUAAUCAAUUGAAAGGUGCAAAUGCAUCACUACCAGAUGGACCUGCGUUGUAUUAGCUAGUUGGUGGGGUAACGGCUCACCAAGGCGACGAUACAUAGCCGACCUGAGAGGGUGAUCGGCCACACUGGGACUGAGACACGGCCCAGACUCCUACGGGAGGCAGCAGUAGGGAAUCUUCGGCAAUGGACGGAAGUCUGACCGAGCAACGCCGCGUGAGUGAAGAAGGUUUUCGGAUCGUAAAGCUCUGUUGUAAGAGAAGAACGAGUGUGAGAGUGGAAAGUUCACACUGUGACGGUAUCUUACCAGAAAGGGACGGCUAACUACGUGCCAGCAGCCGCGGUAAUACGUAGGUCCCGAGCGUUGUCCGGAUUUAUUGGGCGUAAAGCGAGCGCAGGCGGUUAGAUAAGUC